AUUGAACGCUGGCGGCAUGCCUUACACAUGCAAGUCGAACGGUAACGCGGGGCAACCUGGCGACGAGUGGCGAACGGGUGAGUAAUGUAUCGGAACGUGCCCAGUUGUGGGGGAUAACUGCUCGAAAGAGCAGCUAAUACCGCAUACGACCUGAGGGGGAAAGCGGGGGAUGGCAAGACCUCGCGCAAUUGGAGCGGCCGUUAUCAGAUUAGGUAGUUGGUGGGGUAAAGGCUAACCAAGCCAACGAUCUGUAGCUGGUCUGAGAGGACGACCAGCCACACUGGGACUGAGACACGGCCCAGACUCCUACGGGAGGCAGCAGUGGGGAAUUUUGGACAAUGGACGCAAGUCUGAUCCAGCCAUGCCGCGUGCGGGAAGAAGGCCUUCGGGUUGUAAACCGCUUUUGUCAGGGAAGAAACGCUCUGGGUUAAUACCUCGGGGUAAUGACGGUACCUGAAGAAUAAGCACCGGCUAACUACGUGCCAGCAGCCGCCGCAGUAA
rnacentral:rRNA from 1 species